AGCAGCCGCGGUAAUUCCAGCUCCAAUAGCGUAUAUUAAAGUUGUUGCAGUUAAAAAGCUCGUAGUUGAAUUUCGGGAUCAAUAUAUCGGUCGUGCCUUGGUACGUACUGGUAUCAUUGGUUUCUCCUUUCUGACGAACCAUGAUGUCAUUAAUUUGGUGUUAUGGGAAGUUAGGACUGUUACUUUGAAAAAAUUAGAGUGUUUAAAGCAGGCUUUGGCUUGAAUACAUUAGCAUGGAAUAAUGAAAUAGGACGUUCGAACCUAUUUUGUUGGUUUCUAGGAUCAACGUAAUGAUUAAUAGGGAUAGUUGGGGGCAUUAGUAUUCAAUUGUCAGAGGUGAAAUUCUUGGAUUUAUUGAAGACUAACUACUGCGAAAGCAUUUGCCAAGGAUGUUUUCAUUAAUCAAGAACGAAAGUUAGGGGAUCGAAGACGAUCAGAUACCGUCGUAGUCUUAACCAUAAACUAUGCCGACUAGGGAUCGGAUGAUGUUAAUUUUUAAUGACUACAUUCGGCGCCUUAC
rnacentral:misc_RNA from 1 species